rnacentral:rRNA from 1 species
AACGAACGCUGGCGGCAUGCCUAACACAUGCAAGUCGAACGAAGGCUUCGGCCUUAGUGGCGCACGGGUGAGUAACGCGUGGGAAACUGCCUAUUGGUGGGGAAUAACGACGGGAAACUGUCGCUAAUACCGCAUAAGCCCUUCGGGGGAAAGACUUAUCGCCGAUAGAUGUGCCCGCGUCCGAUUAGCUAGUUGGUGAGGUAAUGGCUCACCAAGGCGACGAUCGGUAGCUGGUCUGAGAGGAUGAUCAGCCACACUGGGACUGAGACACGGCCCAGACUCCUACGGGAGGCAGCAGUGGGGAAUAUUGGACAAUGGGCGAAAGCCUGAUCCAGCAAUGCCGCGUGAGUGAUGAAGGCCUUAGGGUUGUAAAGCUCUUUCGGGUGGGACGAUUGUGACGGUACCAGAGGAAUAAGAGCCUGCUAACUACGUGCCAGCCGCCGCCGUAA